CGGGUCGUUAGCUCAGUUGGUAGAGCAGUUGACUUUUAAUCAAUUGGUCGCAGGUUCGAAUCCCGCACGACCCACC
rnacentral:tRNA from 1 species